rnacentral:lncRNA from 1 species
AUGCAUGAGUACAUCUCCAUCCACAUUUGCUGGGCUGGUGUCCAGAUUGGCAAUGCCUGCUGGGAGUUCUACUGCCUGGAACACAGCAUCCUGCCUGACGACCAGAUGCCAGUGACAAGACCAGUGGGAGAGAAGACGCAUCCUUCAACACCUUCUUCAGUGAGAUGGGUACUGGCAAGCAUGUGACCAGGGCAGUGUUUGUAGACCUGGAACCCAUGGCUGUUGACAGAGUUCACACUGACACCUAUUGUCAGCUCUUGAACCCUGAGCAUUGCAUCACAGGUAAGGAAUACCUAUGCCAGUAACUGUGCCGGUGGCCACUUACACCAUUGGCAAGGAGAUCAUUGACCUCGUCUUGGACUAAAUUUGCAAGCUGGCUGACCAGUGCACAGGGCUUUAGGGUUUCUUGAUUUUCC